rnacentral:rRNA from 1 species
GAUGAACGCUAGCUACAGGCUUAACACAUGCAAGUCGAGGGGAAACGAUAUUGGAAGCUUGCUUCCGAUAGGCGUCGACCGGCGCACGGGUGAGUAACGCGUAUCCAACCUGCCCAUCACUUGGGGAUAACCUUGCGAAAGUAAGACUAAUACCCAAUGACGUCUCUAGAAGACAUCUGAAAGAGAUUAAAGAUUUAUCGGUGAUGGAUGGGGAUGCGUCUGAUUAGCUUGUUGGCGGGGUAACGGCCCACCAAGGCGACGAUCAGUAGGGGUUCUGAGAGGAAGGUCCCCCACAUUGGAACUGCGACACGGUACAAACUCCUACGGGAGGCAGCAGUGAGGAAUAUUGGUCAAUGGGCGAGAGCCUGAACCAGCCAAGUAGCGUGCAGGAUGACGGCCCUAUGGGUUGUAAACUGCUUUUAUAAGGGAAUAAAGUGAGCCACGUGUGGCUUUUUGCAUGUACCUUAUGAAUAAGGACCGGCUAAUUCCGUGCCAGCCGCCGCAGUAA